rnacentral:rRNA from 1 species
UCUACGGGAGGCAGCAGUGAGGAAUAUUGGUCAAUGGACGCAAGUCUGAACCAGCCAAGUCGCGUGCAGGAAGACGGCUCUAUGAGUUGUAAACUGCUUUUGUACGAGGGUAAACGCAGAUACGCGUAUCUGUCUGAAAGUAUCGUACGAAUAAGGAUCGGCUAACUCCGUGCCAGCAGCCGCGGUAAUACGGAGGAUUCAAGCGUUAUCCGGAUUUAUUGGGGUUAAAGGGUGCGUAGGCGGUGGGAUAAGUUAGAGGUGAAAUUCCGGGGCUCAACUUCGGAAUUGCCUUUGAUACUGUGAGGCUAGAGAGGACGUGCGGUAGGCGGAAUGCAUGGUGUAGCGGUGAAAUGCUUAGAGAUCAUACAGAACACCGAUUGCGAAGGCAGCUUACCGGGCUACUACUGACGUUGAGGCACGAAAGCGUGGGGAGCAAACAGGAUUAGAUACCCGAGUAGUC